rnacentral:rRNA from 1 species
CCUACGGGAGGCAGCAGUAGGGAAUCUUUCACAAUGGGCGAAAGCCUGAUGGAGCAACGCCGCGUGCAGGAUGAAGGCCUUCGGGUUGUAAACUGCUUUUAUAAGCGAGAAAUAUGAUGGUAACUUAUGAAUAAGGAUCGGCUAACUACGUGCCAGAAGCCGCGGUCAUACGUAGGAUCCGAGAAUUAUCCGGAGUGACUGGGUGUAAAGAGUUGCGUAGGUGGCAUAAUGAGUCGCUAGUGAAAUCUGGUGGCUCAACCAUUCAGACUAUUAUCUAAACUGUUAAGCUCGAGACCGUUAGGGGUAACUGGAAUUUCUAGUGUAGGAGUGAAAUCCGUAGAUAUUAGAAGGAACACCAAUAGCGUAGGCAGGUUGCUGGGACGGUUCUGACACUAAGGCACGAAAGCGUAGGGAGCAAACGGGAUUAGAUACCCUGGUAGUC